CUGCAGGCCGCCUGGACACAGGGUGACCUCACGUCUCCGACAGAAAUAUCAGUCAAUCAAAUUUGUAGCUGAAAAUAAUGAAGUGUGUGCCAGGCAACUUAAGGGCCGAGUUCCAUCAUUUCACCACGAUGGCUGCUGAACUCUGGAAAUGCUGAAGAAUGUUACAGUAUACGUACAUAAAACUGAGUUGUUGCUGUUGACUGCAGGUGAGGGAGGAAGACCACACUGGUGAGGCAUACACAAGUUUGGGCAGGAUGAAG